rnacentral:ncRNA from 1 species
GGAGAUAGAGGUCGCAUUUUUCAUAAGUAGGGUGACGGAUGUGCCAGGCACAGGGGAACUCAUCCGAAAGGGGAAGAUGCCGAAGGGGCAGAGCGCCUGGAGCUUUGUUCCUGGGCAUGCCGCGAACAGCGGCAUGACUGUCAUCGCAGGAUGGAGAGCUAUCUGG